UGUCCCUUAGCUCCGGCCCGCUCCCAGCCGGCUCCUGCGGAACGCGGCGCAGCCUGCGAUUCCCCGGGGCCGCUCCCGUCGUCCCGCCGCUUGCAGACGCUGCCGUGCCGGCGCCGUGCGGGGGCUCCUCGGGCGCAGGUCUCCCGGCCGCGGCCCUGCCCGGGUCCGCCUCGCUACAGCCGCACGGCGCUGGCCGCGAGCCGCCGCCACUAACAUGGAAAACAAACCGAAGCAAAACGGUCGAUUCCUGCAGCCUAUAGAGCUGUGCUCUAACAGGCCUGAGUUCGUCCCGAUGAAGUUAUCUUGACAUAACCGGUAUCAAACUCGAUUAACAAAAGCGACCUUCGCGUGCCACUUUUAGACCGAGGGGAGUGACCUAACUUGAUCUGAACGCGAAAAGCAGCUGCCCAGCCCAGACAGCGCCAAUUACACUGCAACCUCCUGUGUGCCCGGCGUUUGAUCUUACAGCUUCUGAAGGUCACGGCACUAAGACACCUCCAAAACAGGAAGAACAACUGGCUUCUGUUACCACACUUGCCGUUUCUGAAUCUCUGUCAUCUCUCAGGCAGUGGAUUUCAUCUUGCAUGGAGCAGAAGCACGCCAAGCACCUUCAGGAACUAUUAAGAGCAGGAUGAAUACAGUAUGUAUUUGCUUGCUUCCUCUUUCACAAUCCCCGCUACCAGCAAUCUUAUCCCGUUACCAUUCUGCAGCCUUUGCCCCUUCCUUCACCCACCACUUGGCAUUUCCUCCUUUUGUUCACCACAAGCCAUUCACAUCCACAUUAAUGCCUCCUCCUUCCAGCACCCUUCCAGGAGGGGUCAAACCUCUCACCGAUGGCAAAUCAGUGGGUAACUUGGCCCCACCUCAAGCACUAGCUUGUGCUGUCGCACAAGCUGCACAUGCACUGAAGACCUUACUUCUGCUUACUGCCAGGAGAUCUAUCCUUCAUUUAUUCACUCGAGACACGUCACAAAGCAUUUCCCAAUCUUUCAUUGAAUUAUCCCUCAAGUUCUCAUUUAUCCCCACUGGAGAAAUCCAACAGGAAUAGAACUAGGAAGAGGAGCACCAACAUGAAGCUCAGUCAGAAGUGAGAGGAAACAUAUCUACAGCACUUCUGUUUCACACUAUAAAAUAGGAUGAAUUUCUUAUUACGAAAUGCAGAGGCUUUAUGAAAUAGUUCCUUUUAAAAUAAAGUAUGCACAUUUAC